GAAAUCAUAACUCAUUAAUGGAGUUCUGUUUGUUGUUGUUGCGGUGGUUUCUAAUUCGCUUGGUGCAGGUCGGGAACUAGUUCGCCGGCGGAGAUCUUAAGCGAUUACACGGCCUAAUUAGUUAGCUCCCGCCUUGCAUCAACUGAAUCGGAUACCGCGGAUACAUCUCUUUCAGUUGAUGAAGGAAGGGCAUGCUUCUUCUUCUUCAAUGGGACCCAAAUUUAUUAAUUUUUGUUUUUUUGCUUUGUUUGACAGAUCAUUACAAUCUUCCAUGUUUUCUUGAUUCCUGAUAUGUUAUAUACAAUCAUUGUUUGAUCCGUGAAUUCAUUUGGGUGUUUCUAGAA